rnacentral:rRNA from 1 species
UACGUAGGGGGCUAGCGUUGUCCGGAUUUAUUGGGCGUAAAGAGCGUGUAGGCGGCCAGGUAGGUCCGCUGUGAAAGUCCGAGGCUCAACCUCGGAAUGUCGGCGGAAACCCUCUGGCUAGAGUCCGGAAGAGGAGAGUGGAAUUCCCGGUGUAGCGGUGAAAUGCGCAGAUAUCGGGAAGAACACCCGUGGCGAAGGCGGCUCUCUGGAACGGUACUGACGCUGAGGCACGAAAGCGUGGGGAGCAAACAGA